AAGAGGAGUCUAUAUCCUAUCAGUUAGUUGGCGGGGUAAAAGCCCACCAAGACGAAGACGGGUAGCCGGCCUGAGAGGGUGUUCGGCCACAUGGGAACUGAGACACGGUCCCAACUCCUACGGGAGGCAGCAGUAAGGAAUUUUGGGCAAUGGGCGCAAGCCUGACCCAGCGACACCGCGUGCAUGAAGAAGGCCUUCGGGUCGUAAAGUGCUGUUCCGUGUUAAGAAUGACCCUAGAUGAAUAAUACUAGGGGAGAGACUAAGGCGCGGGAGGAAGAGAUUGCUAACUCUGUGCCAGCAGCAGUGGUAAUACAGAGAUCUCAACCGUUAUUCGGAAUUACUGGGCUUAAAGGGUGUGUAGGCUGUAUGUAAAGUUGGUUGUGAAAAGCUCUGGCUUACCCAGAGUAGGUCAGCCAAAACUAACGUACUAGAGUAUGGUAGGGGGGAGUGGAACUUCUAGUGGAGCGGUGAAAUGCGUUGAUAUUAGAAGGAACGCCGGAGGCGAAAGCGACUCUCUAGACCAUAACUGACGCUGAGGCACGAAAGCCAGGGGAGCAAACGGGAUUAGAUACCCCGGUAGUCCUGGCCCUAAACGAUGAGUACUAGGUAGGGGGCGUAAGCUCUCUGCUGACGCAAAAGUCUUAA
rnacentral:rRNA from 1 species